rnacentral:rRNA from 1 species
AACGAACGCUGGCGGCAUGCCUAACACAUGCAAGUCGAACGAGACCUUCGGGUCUAGUGGCGCACGGGUGCGUAACGCGUGGGAACCUGCCCUUAGGUUCGGAAUAACUCCCCGAAAGGGGUGCUAAUACCGGAUAAUGUCUUCGGACCAAAGAUUUAUCGCCUUUGGAUGGGCCCGCGUUGGAUUAGCUAGUUGGUAGGGUAAAAGCCUACCAAGGCGACGAUCCAUAGCUGGUCUGAGAGGAUGAUCAGCCACACUGGGACUGAGACACGGCCCAGACUCAUGCGGAAGGAACGAGGGUGAAUUAGUGAACAUUGGGCGAAAGCAUGAGACGAGAAGGCCGGAUAAGUUAGGAUGUUGUGAGGGUUAAAACCUUCUUUCGUAGGGGAAGAAAACGACAGUAAGGGAAGGUCAACCUCCGGAGACCCCGGUGCCAGCAGCCGAGGUAAUGAUCGAAGAGCAAAUGUCUGCUC